rnacentral:lncRNA from 1 species
CGGGAGCCGCGUAUCCCCGCGUCUCAGGCGGGCAAACGAGCCCAAAGAGAUGCCAGAUUCUGAAUGAGAAAGUGACCUAAAUUGAAGAAAGCAGCUUGUGUUACAACAUACGGCAGCAGAGAUCGGGGACCAGAGGUAGCAAUUUAGGAGGGCUGCUGCUGACCCAGGAGCGAUUGUACUCUUCACUCUCAAAGCUUCCCGCAUGUCUGGGUCAUCUGGCUCUUACAGAUAAUGGAGUGUGUUGUGUGGCUGUCAAAUUUGUUAUGAAGGAUCUUUAUUCGGAAAGAUGUAGUUUUUUAAUCUGCAAAUAAAAAAUACUAAAGGGAAAUGCACUAACAUAUUGAGUGGUUAUUUCUGAGUGGUGGGGAUGUGACUAAUUUUUCUUAUUGUCUGUUUACUAUAAUAAGCUUAUAUAAAUUUAUCAGUAAAGAAAAACGUUAUUUAAAAAGGCUAAUAAUGGGGUGCCGGGGUGGCUCACUUGGUUAAGUGUCUCCCUUCGGCUCAGGUCAUGAUCCUGGGGUCCUGAGAUCGAGCGCAUGGGCUCCCUGCUCAGCGGGGAGUCUGCUUCUCCCUUUGCCCUUCCCCCUGCUCAUGCUGUCUCUCAAAUAUAUAACUCUUAAAAAAAAAAAAAAGACUAAUAAUGGGAGAAACGCUACGACUUAGAGAAUUGGCCUUCUCUGCUGUUACGGUUUUCAGAUAGAA